rnacentral:rRNA from 1 species
AGUGAACGCUGGCGGUAGGCCUAACACAUGCAAGUCGAACGGCAGCACAGUAAGAGCUUGCUCUUACGGGUGGCGAGUGGCGGACGGGUGAGGAAUACAUCGGAAUCUACUUUUUCGUGGGGGUUAACGUAGGGAAACUUACGCUAAUACCGCAUACGACCUACGGGGGAAAGCAGGGGAUCUUCGGACCUUGCGCGAUUGAAUGAGCCGAUGUCGGAGUAGCUAGUUGGCGGGGUAAAGGCCCACCAAGGCGACGAUCGGUAGCUGGUCUGAGAGGAGGAUCGGCGACAUGGGAAGUGAGACACGGACAAGAGUCCUACGGGAGGCAGCAGUGGGGAAUAUUGGACAAUGGGGGCAAGCCUGAUCCAGUGAUACCGCGUGGGUGAAGAAGGCGUUGGGGUUGUAAAGACCUUUUGUUGGGAAAGAAAAGCAGCAGGUUGAUACCCCGCUGUUCUGACGGUACCCAAAGAAUAAGCACCGGCUAACUUCGUG